rnacentral:rRNA from 1 species
GACGGAGGAUGCAAGUGUUAUCCGGAAUUACUGGGCGUAAAGCGUGCGUAGGUGGUGAGUUAAGUCUGAUGUGAAAUCCCCGGGCUCAACCUGGGAAUGGCAUUGGAUACUGGCUCGCUAGAGUGCGGUAGAGGGUGGUGGAAUUCCCGGUGUAGCAGUGAAAUGCGUAGAGAUCGGGAGGAACAUCUGUGGCGAAGGCGGCCACCUGGACCAACACUGACACUGAGGCACGGAAAGCGUGGGGAGCAAACAGGG